rnacentral:rRNA from 1 species
GGGUGAGUAACACGUGGGUGAUCUGCCCUGCACUUCGGGAUAAGCUUGGGAAACUGGGUCUAAUACCGGAUAGGAACCAUCUUUAGUGUGGUGGUUGGAAAGUUUUUUCGGUGUAGGAUGAGCUAGCGGCCUAUCAGCUUGUUGGUGGGGUAAUGGCCUACCAAGGCGGCGACGGGUAGCCGGCCUGAGAGGGUGUACGGCCACAUUGGGACUGAGAUACGGCCCAG